rnacentral:rRNA from 1 species
UACGUAGGGCGCAAGCGUUGUUCGGAUUUACUGGGCGUAAAGGGCGCGUAGGCGGUCAGCACAAGUCAGUUGUGAAAUCUCCGGGCUUAACUCGGAAAGGUCAACUGAUACUGUGCGACUAGAGUGCAGAAGGGGCAACUGGAAUUCUCGGUGUAGCGGUGAAAUGCGUAGAUAUCGAGAGGAACACCGGUGGCGAAGGCGGCAUCCUGGACCAACACUGACGCUGAGGAGCGAAAGCCAGGGGAGCAAACGGG